rnacentral:rRNA from 1 species
AUUGAACGCUGGCGGCAUGCCUUACACAUGCAAGUCGAACGGUAACAGGUCUUCGGAUGCUGACGAGUGGCGAACGGGUGAGUAAUACAUCGGAACGUGCCCAAUCGUGGGGGAUAGCUCGGCGAAAGCCGGAUUAAUACCGCAUACGAUCUACGGAUGAAAGCAGGGGAUCGCAAGACCUUGCGCGAAUGGAGCGGCCGGUGGCAGAUUAGGUAGUUGGUGGGGUAAAGGCUCACCAAGCCGACGAUCUGUAGCUGGUCUGAGAGGACGACCAGCCACACUGGGACUGAGACACGGCCCAGACUCCUACGGGAGGCAGCAGUGGGGAAUUUUGGACAAUGGUCGCAAGCCUGAUCCAGCCAUGCCGCGUGCAGGAUGAAGGCCUUCGGGUUGUAAACUGCUUUUGUACGGAACGAAAAGACUCUGGUUAAUACCUGGGGUCCAUGACGGUACCGUAAGAAUAAGCACCGGCUAACUACGUGCCAGCCGCCGCGGUAACAC